rnacentral:rRNA from 1 species
CGGGAAACUGGGGAUAAUCCCUGAUAGAUCUCGGUCGCUGGAAUGCUCCGAGAUCCAAAGCUCCGGCGCUCAAGGAUGGGUCUGCGGCCUAUCAGGUAGUAGUGGGUGUAGCGUACCUACUAGCCUACGACGGGUACGGGUUGUGAGAGCAAGAGCCCGGAGAUGGAUUCUGAGACACGAAUCCAGGCCCUACGGGGUGCAGCAGGCGCGAAAACUUUACAAUGCCGGCAACGGCGAUAAGGGAACCUCGAGUGCCAGGUUACAAAUCUGGCUGUCGUGAUGCCUAAAAAGCAUUGCAUAGCAAGGGCCGGGCAAGACCGGUGCCAGCCGCCGCGGUAACA